rnacentral:tRNA from 1 species
UCCCUAGUGGCUCAGUGGUAAAGAAUCUGCCUGCGAUGCAGGAAACCCAGGUUUGAUCCCUGGGUGGGGAA